CUUGAGCGAUCCCAGCCACAGCGGCCGGUCCGCCGGGCGGCCCCGGCCAUAGGUGGCGAGCAGCGCCUGGGCCUC
rfam:Frankia sp. Cc1.17 contig_60, whole genome shotgun sequence.